AAAACUAAGCUGUGCUUUCUUAAAACCCUGCAAAGUGAAGCCAGACAACUUAAACUUCAGAAGAAAAUAACAGUAGCCUAUUUACAUACAUAAGCCACUUUCAUACCUGCCUACUAACAUAUGGACUUAGGAGUUAUGUGGCCUAUAUUGAUUUUUUUAGGAUUGUUCUUUUGUCAUUGUUUUUUCUCCCUUCCUCCUCACUAUUUUCUCUUCACAGGACACAAGACUUCACAACCUGCUAAAAAUGAGCUUUUGGGACUACCCGUCUAGAAAUAAAUAGUCCUAGCCUUAAGAGAUCAGAUAAAACCUGAGACCAGAGGCUCCAAUUAUUGGUGGAAGAAUUGUGAAUAUUAUACUCUUCCUGUCUACUGUGCAUGUGUGGUUUUGAUUUCAACUGAAGAAGUGACAUUCUGACUUGGAAUUCCACCAGAUGAAGGGAAAGCAUUGUGAGAAAAUUCAGAGAAAAUCAAACCAGCGCUGGAUUCAGACACAACUGGCUGUGAAUCCUGGCUCUGCCACGUCAUAGUUGUAUAGCCCUAGAUAGAUUUACUAAAUCACUUCGAGUUACAAAUUCCUCAUCAGUAAAAUUUCAGUAAAAAUACUUACCUUGAGUGUUCUUAUGAGGAUUAGAGUUAAUAUAUGCAAAGCACCGUGCAUCAGCUCUCAAUCAAGGGUGGUAUAAAUCACUUGAUGUUUAAAGAAUCUCUGAAAGUAAAAGCUUCUGAAUGUGGAACAGAUUCAAAUAACAAGUGAAAAUAAAAGCAGCCAGCAUCAGGCCCAGCCCAACAGAGUUCUCUCUCAGUGCCAUUUCUUUGCUCCCAACGAAACAUCUGAUGUGUGCUGGGUUUUGACCCUCACUGGCCUUCAAGCUUCUGCUUCUGUACUGCCCUGAAUUACUCUUCAGCUGUGGCUUUACCUUGGCUUUGUUCCUAUGUCUCUGUUUUGGCACCUGCUUAUCACCUGGCUAUACUCUACUCUCUCCAGCUUUGGACUUCUUCAAGUGAGUGUGUUGAUGCCUGUUUCUGGCUUAUGGCAUGGUUGCCAUAUCCCUGCGUGCUGUAUUUUUCCUUAAUUCUAGUGUGCUUAUACUAAUAAGGGUUUAUACAACCAGUAUUUCUAUAAAAAUUAACUAAAGUGAAACCUUUUGUUUGCAACUUACUCAUUCUUGGUACCACUAUGAAUGUAAAUGAGCAACAGCACUGCUAUGACAGCAACAAGAGAUAAUGAAAACUAUUGAAAAAGUCAAAGACUGAAAGGAGUUUUAAAGACAGAGGCACUGGAACCAAUGCAAGACAGCAUUUUGAGCAAUUCUCUAUUUCCAAAUUUAAUGGUGAGACACAGAGGCACAGAUCUCAGGGGAAAAGAUUAUUACCUAUAAUGAAUAAUAAGAGACCGGCAUUACCACACCCU
rnacentral:lncRNA from 1 species